rnacentral:rRNA from 1 species
ACAGGUUCGUAGUGAACCUGCGGAGAGAUCAUUACCGAGUGAGGGUGGAAACACCCGACCUCCAACCCCAUGUCGUUACAACCUUUGUUGCCUCGGGGGCGACCCGGCCUCGCGCCGGGGCCCCCGACGGACCAGCUCACUCUGCGUCUUUGCGUCGGAGUCACAAGUAAAUUGAAUCAAAACUUUUAACAACGGAUCUCUUGGUUCUGGCAUCGAUGAAGAACGCAGCGAAAUGCGAUAAGUAAUGUGAAUUGCAGAAUUCAGUGAAUCAUCGAAUCUUUGAACGCACAUUGCGCCCCUUGGUAUUCCGGGGGGCAUGCCCGUUCGAGCGUCAUUACACCACUCAAGCCUGGCUUGGUAUUGGGCGUCCGGCACUCACCUGCCCGCCCCAAAUUCUCUUCGGCUGAUCGGUUUACUUUCUUAGCGUUGGAGUGUUGUCAUUACGUUCCGCUAAUCGAAAGACGCCGGCCGGCCGUUAAACAUUUUCAUCACGGUUGACCUCGGAUCGGGUAGGGAUACCCGCUGAACUUAAGCAUAUCAAUAAGCGAGA